GUAGCGGCCAGCAGAGCGAGCGGUGACGGCUGAGUGUCCUACCCGCGAUGGGCGGGUUCAGAGAGGGAGACAGGGAGGGGGGUGGCGGUUAGGGCCGGGCCCGCUCGCACAGGAAGUACGGCUCGCUCCGCGCCUGGCCGCGCCGCCAACCCGGCCCCGCGCUCUCCUCCUCCUCCUCCUCCGGGGUCUGCGGCGCCUCUCCCCGCGCUCGGUGGCCCGCGGCGGACGGCUGCGCGCCGGGCCUCUUCCCUCCGUCCGGAUCCCACCCGGGAGGGCGCGCACACUUGCACACUCACACACACACAAACACACACACAAAAAGGCGGCGGGCGGGGGCGCGCGGGCGGGGUCGGAGCGUUGGCGCCUCGGGCGGGCAGCUCCCGGGGCGGGGGAGGGGCGGGCGAGCGCGCGCGGGAGGGAGGGAGGGAAGGAGGGAGGGCGAGGGGAGGAGAAAGCGGCGCGCGGGGAGCCCGGCCGCGCUCAGCCGCUCCUCACCUGGGCCGCCGCCGCCGCCGCGCCGUUUCCGUGCUGCUGCUGUUGCUGCUGCUGCUGCUGUAGAUACUCGCCGUGGCCGCCGCCGCCUCCGCCGCCGUCCACGUCCAAGGUAUGCCUGCUGCUCAUGGAGGGAAGAAGUGAGCUUGUAAUCCCUUUGGAGCUAGAGUUACAGAUGGCUAUGAGUUGCCACAGGGAUCCUGGAGAUUUGACCGAGCCAGAAGACCACUCACAGGUUGAUCCUCUUGUUCCACGAUGUGAGUUGCAGAUAUCAAACUCAGGUGGCCAGGCCUGGCAGCAAGCUCUUCUGGCCGUUCAGCCAUCUCACUGGCCCUGUGGAAAUCUUUUGAAGAAGAUGGACUCACAUGAGCACAAGUUCAGAAAUGAAUAGUUUGAAAGUAGGUUCUUGGAAAAUAAAUAAAUAAAUAAAUAAAUAAAGACAAUGGAAUGGAAAGAAGCAAAUCUCCUGCAAGCUUGUUUAAUAUACACUAACAGUGAAUACAUUAGAAGGCCAGAUGAAUAAACAGAGUUCCCUGUAAAUAGCACACACUUGCAUCUCCUUUAAUACGACAGCUAAACAAGACAGGACACUAAUGUGAAUUGGCUUGAUUUUUCUGAAAUCAGGAAACCUUGCACAUCCUAGGACCACAGUAAAUGUAUUGAAUUGAUAUUUAACUUCUUCAGCUCAGUUAUCCUGUAAGACCCCAACUCAAUGUGUUUCUUAGACCCCUAGAAACAAAGCCCAGCAUGGAGUUCUUUGUUCUUUCGCCUUCAGCCUGAGAGAACGAUGACCACUGGGUGGCCCACCCAGGUGCCUGACUCAUUGUGUAAGGGACCAAGAAUGUUUGCCAAAGAUAGCCUGUAACCUUUCCGUGAGAGAUGAGCUGUAAUUCGUCAUCCCCAUUCUUAGGAUGUUUACUCAGCUUCCCCAUUCUUUGUGGUCUUAUCCUCCCCUCACUUUGCGGUUUAUUCUUUAAAAACCCUCAACUGCAACUGCAGGGUUGGGGGUGGAGGUGUUGAUCUCCUCUGCCCCUGUACAGUUACGAGCUUGGCCUCAGCAUGCUGAUUCCCGAAUAAAC
rnacentral:lncRNA from 1 species